AGGACGAACGCUGGCGGCGUGCUUAACGCAUGCAAGUCGAGCGAGGCUCCUCCUUCGGGAGGAUGCCCUAGCGGCGAACGGGUGAGUAACACGUGGGCAACCUGCCCCUAGCACUGGGAUAACCCCGGGAAACCGGGGCUAAUACCGGAUACGACUUCGGAAGGCAUCUUCUGAAGUGGAAAAGGUUACUGGCUAGGGAUGGGCCCGCGGCCUAUCAGCUUGUUGGUGGGGUAAUGGCCCACCAGGGCGACGACGGGUAGCCGGCCUGAGAGGGCGACCGGCCACACUGAGACUGAGACACGGCCCAGACUCCUACGGGAGGCAGCAGUGGGGAAUAUUGCACAAUGGGCGAAAGCCUGAUGCAGCGACGCCGCGUGAGGGAUGACGGCCUUCGGGUUGUAAACCUCUUUCAGCAGGGACGAAGCGAAAGUGACGGUACCUGCAGAAGAAGCACCGGCCAACUACGCGCCAGCAGCCGC
rnacentral:rRNA from 1 species